rnacentral:rRNA from 1 species
CAUGCCGCGUGUGUGAAGAAGGUCUUCGGAUUGUAAAGCACUUUAAGUUGGGAGGAAGGGCAGUAACCUAAUACGUUAUUGUUUUGACGUUACCGACAGAAUAAGCACCGGCUAACUCUGUGCCAGCAGCCGCGGUAAUACAGAGGGUGCAAGCGUUAAUCGGAAUUACUGGGCGUAAAGCGCGCGUAGGUGGUUUGUUAAGUUGGAUGUGAAAGCCCCGGGCUCAACCUGGGAACUGCAUCCAAAACUGGCAAGCUAGAGUAUGGUAGAGGGUGGUGGAAUUUCCUGUGUAGCGGUGAAAUGCGUAGAUAUAGGAAGGAACACCAGUGGCGAAGGCGACCACCUGGACUGAUACUGACACUGAGGUGCGAAAGCGUGGGGAGCAACAGGAUUAGAUACCCUGGUAGUCCACGCCGUAAACGAUGUCAACUAGCCGUUGGGA